CUCCAAACCAAUGCCAUGCCAACGGUCGAAUCCGGCACAUGUAGAGGGGGGAAGAAUAUUCCUUUCCCCAGCAACAUUCAACAUAGCCUUCCCAUCCCUCUCGGUUCCUAGGGCAAAGAUGCCUCUGAGACCCCUCGACAACGCUCUUCCCUCCGCUGAGCAGACCAAGAAGGUGGCCAAGGUCGCUGCCUCCCCUUCCCUCUCUGCCAAGAAGGCGGCAGCUGCCCUUGCCACAGCCUCCAGCAUGAACGAUGAGAACAUGCCAAAUCCGUCGCCCCCAGAGCAGUCUGUGGAGUAUGUCCCUUCCGAGGACCUUGCGGCCCUAAUGGAUCCAGAAUCGAAGAUGUGUUGCUGGAGGAGUUGAGCUCGAAAGACUGGAUCAGAGGGUGCGAAGCGUUGAAUGAUUUGUGCCGGAUGGCUCUCCAUCACUCUUCUCUUUUGCUCCUGAUCUUAAUCAUAAUUGAUGGCCAGUUGUUAGUCUUGCAAAAAGAUAGCUUCCAGAGAUUUUGGGACUGAUCCAUCUUUCUACACUCCUAACUUUAGGGAAUCAUUGGUGAAGCAUAAAUGUAGUACUCCUGUCAUCAUUGAAAAUAUUGUGAAGAAUAUAGCCUUGGAGGAUCUUGACAUUUUAUCUAUUAUAAUUGGAGAACUUGGACGAGUUUUUAGUGGACCCUUGACGCACAAAUCAUUUAGCAUUCUUAGUAUCCUAACAUGGAUGGAACGUCUGAUUUAUUGUUGUCUUUAUUAUUUCAGGUUAUUUGUACUCCGGAAAAGAAGUGUUGCCCAAUCAAAUGUGGAAAUCCUGGGCCACUUAGAUUUGAAUGAUACGAAAAUGUGGAAAUAGCAACGAUGUUGAGUCUGCUGCUACGCUGCAAAUCUCAGUCGCCAAGCCCAGCGCGGUACCAUGAAAGGAGCAGCUAUAAGUUCUUCCCAAGUAAUAUUUUUAGUGCAGUUUUGGUUUUGUACUGGAUCCUUUCUUGAGUCUUGUAUGUAUUCCUCUAGUACAUUCCAUUGUUUUACCACCCUCGACUGUGUUUUUUUUAUUACAUUUUGUCUUUGUCUGAUCGUGCGAUGAGCUAAAGUGGUGAGUUUUGUUAUGGAUUGUUAAUUUCGUGAUCAAUUAAUGUUCGCAAAAAAUCUUCGAUUAACAAA